GCGGGCGUGGCGAAACUGGUAACCGCACAGGACUUAAAAUCCUGCGUCCUUAGUGACUUACGGGUUCGACCCCCGUCGCCCGCACCA
rnacentral:tRNA from 1 species